rnacentral:rRNA from 1 species
UACAUGGGGUGCAAACGUUGCUCGGAAUUAUUGGGCGUAAAGCGCACGUAGGCGGUUCGUUAAGUCGGAUGUGAAAGCCCUCGGCUCAACUGAGGAAGUGCACCCGAAACUGGCGAGCUUGAGUACGAAAGAGGAUCGCGGAAUUCCCGGUGUAGUGGUGAAAUGCGUAGAUAUCGGGAGGAACACCAGUGGCGAAGGCGACUUCCUGGCCUGUUCUUGACGCUGAUGCACGAAAGUGUGGGGAUCAAACAGG